rnacentral:rRNA from 1 species
UACGUAGGGCGCAAGCGUUAUCCGGAAUUAUUGGGCGUAAAGAGCUCGUAGGCGGUUUGUCGCGUCUGCCGUGAAAGUCCGGGGCUCAACUCCGGAUCUGCGGUGGGUACGGGCAGACUAGAGUGAUGUAGGGGAGACUGGAAUUCCUGGUGUAGCGGUGAAAUGCGCAGAUAUCAGGAGGAACACCGAUGGCGAAGGCAGGUUGCUGGGCUGACACUGACGCUGAAGCGCGAAAGCUAGGGGAGCGAACGGG